AGUCGAGCGAGGUUACUGUUUCGGAUCCCUUCGGGGUGAAGAAGCUUUGACCUAGCGGCGGACGGGUGAGUAACGCGUGGGUAACCUACCCCAAAGUCCGGGAUAACAGCGGGAAACCGCUGCUAAUACCGGAUGCCUUUACCUUGGGGCAUCUUGAGGUAAAGAAAGGUAACGCUUUGGGAUGGGCCCGCGUCCCAUUAGCUAGUUGGUGAGGUAACGGCUCACCAAGGCGACGAUGGGUAGCCGGCCUGAGAGGGUGGACGGCCACACUGGGACUGAGACACGGCCCAGACUCCUACGGGAGGCAGCAGUAGGGAAUAUUGCGCAAUGGACGGAAGUCUGACGCAGCGACGCCGCGUGAGCGAUGAAGGUCUUCGGAUCGUAAAGCUCUGUCCUUGGGGAAGAAGGCGAAAGCUUGACGGUACCCAAGAAGAAAGCCCCGGCUAACUACGUGCCAGCAGCCGCGGUAAUACGUAGGGGGCGAGCGUUGUCCGGAAUUACUGGGCGUAAAGGGUGCGUAGGCGGCCCUUUAAGUCGGAUGUGAAAGCCCGCGGCUUAACCGCGGAAUGGCAUUCGAAACUGGAGGGCUUGAGUGUCGGAGAGGGUAGUGGAAUUCCCAGUGUAGCGGUGAAAUGCGUA
rnacentral:rRNA from 1 species